rnacentral:rRNA from 1 species
UGACAAGAAAUAACAAUACGGGGCUUGAAGUCUUGUAAUUGGAAUGAUGGGAAUCUAAACCCCUUCCAGAGUAUCAAUUGGAGGGCAAGUCUGGUGCCAGCAGCCGCGGUAAUUCCAGCUCCAAUAGCGUAUAUUAAACUUGUUGCAGUUAAAAAGCUCGUAGUUGAAUUUCUGCUGUUUCGUUUACUGCGUUUGGCGUUUGUCAUCGUUGCGGCUUGGUUGGGUUUCGAUUAUUCGUUUCCCGGCGUUUACUUUGGGAAAAUUAGGGUGCUUGAAGCAGGCUUUUGCCUUGAAUACUUUAGCAUGGAAUAACGGAGUAGGAC